rnacentral:rRNA from 1 species
GGUUAAGCGACUAAGCGUACACGGUGGAUGCCCUGGCAGUCAGAGGCGAUGAAGGACGUGCUAAUCUGCGAUAAGCGUCGGUGAGGUGAUAUGAACCGUUAUAACCGGCGAUUUCCGAAUGGGGAAACCCAGUGUGUUUCGACACACUAUCAUUAACUGAAUCCAUAGGUUAAUGAGGCGAACCGGGGGAACUGAAACAUCUAAGUACCCCGAGGAAAAGAAAUCAACCGAGAUUCCCCCAGUAGCGGCGAGCGAACGGGGAGGAGCCCAGAGCCUGAAUCAGUGUGUGUGUUAGUGGAAGCGUCUGGAAAGGCGCGCGAUACAGGGUGACAGCCCCGUACACAAAAAUGCACAUAUUGUGAGCUCGAUGAGUAGGGCGGGACACGUGGUAUCCUGUCUGAAUAUGGGGGGACCAUCCUCCAAGGCUAAAUACUCCUGACUGACCGAUAGUGAACCAGUACCGUGAGGGAAAGGCGAAAAGAACCCCGGCGAGGGGAGUGAAAAAGAACCUGAAACCGUGUACGUACAAGCAGUGGGAGCCUCUUAAUGGGGUGACUGCGUACCUUUUGUAUAAUGGGUCAGCGACUUAUAUUCUGUAGCAAGGUUAACCGAAUAGGGGAGCCGAAGGGAAACCGAGUCUUAACUGGGCGUUAAGUUGCAGGGUAUAGACCCGAAACCCGGUGAUCUAGCCAUGGGCAGGUUGAAGGUUGGGUAACACUAACUGGAGGACCGAACCGACUAAUGUUGAAAAAUUAGCGGAUGACUUGUGGCUGGGGGUGAAAGGCCAAUCAAACCGGGAGAUAGCUGGUUCUCCCCGAAAGCUAUUUAGGUAGCGCCUCGUGAAUUCAUCUCCGGGGGUAGAGCACUGUUUCGGCAAGGGGGUCAUCCCGACUUACCAACCCGAUGCAAACUGCGAAUACCGGAGAAUGUUAUCACGGGAGACACACGGCGG